UUUAUUUAUAAGGAGUUCUGUCCCUUUCUUGUCCAAUGCCGAUAACCUCAAAUUUACGAAGUGAAACAUUGAAUAUUUCAUAUUGACAAAAAAGAGGAAGAUGUCUAUCCUAAAAGUCAUAUCCAGACUGUCAUCGCUUUAUGUGACCCCAGCUGUCUGUCGACGUACCAGCCUGAACAUAGCUGAAAGACAUUCUUCAACACUUGUAAACAAUUGUCGGCAGUUGCUGAUGCCACAAACAGUGACUAUUAGCCAGCAAA